rnacentral:lncRNA from 1 species
UAGGACCUUUUGAACUCUGGCCGCUCGACAAAAACACCCUUUUGAAAAGGUGGCAUUCACUGGGCUGACAGAAUUAAGCAACACCAAAUUAAGGCGCUAAUAAAAAGCGCGUUGGGCUCAGAACUGCGCCUCUGGUUUUAAUCCCGGCGUUUUGGAUUAAUAUCAGGUGCUAAUUUCGAACAUUUAGGGCAGCUCUUCGGAGGAUAUAAAGAAGGGAACGGCAUAAUUAUUAAACUUUUUCUUUUAUGCUAGAAGAGCUGGGGGUGGGGGUGCGUUUCUUGUUAGGAGCACUCUGGUAGCAUUAAUUACGUGCAAAAGGAGUAAAUUUGAAGGCAAACACCGAAACAUCGCUCGGCCUUCCUCCAGGUCCUCUUGGGAACGGCGGGUCUGCGCGGGAGAAGGGAGGAGCGCUUUGCACGCAAAGGCGUUUUGCACCGGGAGGCCAGACCCCGCUCCCGGGGUGGCCCCAAGUCCGCGCCCAAAGGACAGCUCUUGCUCUUCCUUUGGCAGGUCUUCUGUGUGUUUUGAUGGACCAUCCAUCCAUGUCAGGAACCUCCAGAAGAGAUAAACACUGCUGUGCUUAGAGCAGUUUGGACAACUAGAAUAAUAAAUCCACUCAACUAACCUUCAGCGAAGGGAAAUUUUUGUAAGGAUGCACAUAAACUCACUCUAGAACCGGAAAACCACCUGUACUGCAGGUUCACAAGGGCACGAAGUGCAGUAUAUAAAAAGAGGAUAAUGACUUGACUCGAGCGCAGGAAAAGGCCCAAUGAACAGCGCAGCCAAGCUUGCCAGGACUAGAAUAGAUGAAAGUUUGGAGAAGAGUCAAGAAGAAAUGGCUUUGUCUGCCUGGAGAAACUGCCCAUUUUAGAUACAGUACUUCUGCGAUGCUAAAGCAGACUUUCUGAAGUCCAAAGUUUGGAGGAGAAAGAGUGAACUUUGAAGAGUAAAGAGUGAGAAGCUGGAAUUAUGCUAGGUGGCUCCUUGGCUGAGCUGUUCACAGUUGUCUCUUGUGGGCUGUUACUACAUGGAUGCUGAAGCAUUAGCUUUCUUCGCGGGGCUGUAUCCAUGGUGUGUGAGCUGUGCAGCCACACAGGAUCCCAGACUCAGAAGGGCCUGCCCUUGGUUUAAUGCUCUGCCGUAGCCCUCUUGAAAUUCUUAAUAAUUUUUGAACAAGGGACUCCACAUUCUCAUUCUGCACUGGGGUCAGC